rnacentral:piRNA from 1 species
AACCUAACGCCAGGGAACAAUGGAUUGA